UACGUAGGGUGCGAGCGUUGUCCGGAAUUAUUGGGCGUAAAGGGCUCGUAGGCGGUCUGUCGCGUCGGGUGUGAAAACUCAAAGCUUAACCCUGAGCCUGCUUCCGAUACGGGCAGACUAGAGGUAUGCAGGGGAGAACGGAAUUCCUGGUGUAGCGGUGAAAUGCGCAGAUAUCAGGAGGAACACCAGUGGCGAAGGCGGUUCUCUGGGCAUUACCUGACGCUGAGGAGCAAAAGUGUGAGGAGCGAACAGG
rnacentral:rRNA from 1 species